AAUGAACGCUGGCGGCAUGCCUAACACAUGCAAGUCGAACGACAGCACCGUAAGAGCUUGCUCAUGCGGGUGGCGCGUGGCGGACGCGUCACGCGUGCAUCGCAUACCUCUCUUACGGGGGUGAUAACGUCGGAAAACUUCCGAUAACACAACAUAUAUCGUACGGGUGUGAGCAGGCGUUCUAUGCGCUUUUCGCGAAGGUAAGAGCUGAUGUCGGAUUAGCUAGUUUGCUGGGUAAAGGCACAGCAAGGCGACGCUCCGUAGCAGGUCCGACAGGAUGAUCAGCCACACUGGAAGUGAGACACGGCCCAGACUCCGACGGGAGGCAGCAGUGGGGAAUAUUGGGCAAUGGGCGAAAGCCUGAUCCAGCAAUACCGCGUGAGUGAUGAAGGACCUCGGGUUGGAAAGCCCUGUUGUUGGGAAAGAAAAGAAGCUCUUUUACCCGGGGCGAUUCUGACGGUACCGAAAGAAUAAGCACCGGCUAACUCCGUG
rnacentral:rRNA from 1 species